UAAGAUAAGUAUGGCUACCUUCGAGUCGAUCUUUGAGAGAUGUAGCUCCUACUACGGUGUUCAGUCUAUUUGUAGUGAAUUAACUACACCUUUUCAUCACCUACAAAAGACAUAUCUCCCGUGGAUCUCGGAGAUCCCUCUUUCUCGGGGUAUUUCCUGGGUCAAGUAUUCCGCUGAGGCUGGCGGUCAGAUGGAGCUGAUUAGAUCCACAGCCGAGAUGGGGCCAUCCCUGGAGUCAAAGAGUUAUCACCCGCUGUAUCAUUGACGCGGACGGGGCUUCCUCGCAUCAUACCGUCGUUUCAUCGAAAGAUGAUUCGACGUCGUGAUGCAAAGGCUGACCGGUUCUGCUUUAUCUCUCAUGGUUUUCGAUAUCGCGGGUAGUCCACUUAUAUCGUAAGAUAAGUAUGGCUACCUUCGAGUCGAUCUUUGAGAGAUGUAGCUCCUACUACGGUGUUCAGUCUAUUUGUAGUGAAUUAACUACACCUUUUCAU
rnacentral:lncRNA from 1 species